rnacentral:lncRNA from 1 species
GCCUAAUAGUAGCCUCGACAUGUUUGGCCGCCCUAUACUUUCUGCAAGCUAGAUUUAGAGUUCAGUAACUGUAGAUCUAUCUUUAUUCAGAGCUUCUAAAAGAUCAGUAAUUAUUCUUUGAGCUGAGAUAAGCUUACUCCGAAUAUCAUCGAUGUUGACCUCUCCAUGUCCAUCGCCCAGUAAAGUCCCCUAAUCAUACCUUCAGACGAGUGA